GCGCAGCUUACCAUGCAGUCGAGCGGUAACAGGGGGUGCUUGCACCCCGCUGACGAGCGGCGGACGGGUGAGUAAUGCAUAGGAAUCUGCCCAGUAGUGGGGGAUAGCCCGGGGAAACCCGGAUUAAUACCGCAUACGCCCUUUGGGGGAAAGCAGGGGAUCUUCGGACCUUGCGCUAUUGGAUGAGCCUAUGUCGGAUUAGCUAGUUGGUGGGGUAAAGGCCUACCAAGGCGACGAUCCGUAGCUGGUCUGAGAGGAUGAUCAGCCACAUCGGGACUGAGACACGGCCCGAACUCCUACGGGAGGCAGCAGUGGGGAAUAUUGGACAAUGGGGGCAACCCUGAUCCAGCCAUGCCGCGUGUGUGAAGAAGGCUUUCGGGUUGUAAAGCACUUUCAGUGAGGAGGAAAACCUUCUGGUUAAUACCCAUGAGGCUUGACGUUACUCACAGAAGAAGCACCGGCUAACUCCGUGCCAGCAGCCGCGGUAAUACGGAGGGUGCAAGCGUUAAUCGGAAUUACUGGGCGUAAAGCGCGCGUAGGUGGUUUGAUAAGCGAGAUGUGAAAGCCCCGGGCUUAACCUGGGAACGGCAUUUCGAACUGUCAGG
rnacentral:rRNA from 1 species